rnacentral:rRNA from 2 species
UUAAGCGACUAAGCGUACACGGUGGAUGCCCUGGCAGUCAGAGGCGAUGAAGGACGUGCUAAUCUGCGAAAAGCGUCGGUAAGGUGAUAUGAACCGUUAUAACCGGCGAUGUCCGAAUGGGGAAACCCAGUGUGAUUCGUCACACUAUCGUUAACUGAAUACAUAGGUUAACGAGGCGAACCGGGGGAACUGAAACAUCUAAGUACCCCGAGGAAAAGAAAUCAACCGAGAUUCCCCCAGUAGCGGCGAGCGAACGGGGAGCAGCCCAGAGUCUGAAUCAGCUUGUGUGUUAGUGGAACGGUCUGGAAAGUCCGACGGUACAGGGUGAUAGUCCCGUACACCAAAAUGCACAGGCUGUGAACUCGAAGAGUAGGGCGGGACACGUGGUAUCCUGUCUGAAUAUGGGGGGACCAUCCUCCAAGGCUAAAUACUCCUGACUGACCGAUAGUGAACCAGUACCGUGAGGGAAAGGCGAAAAGAACCCCGGCGAGGGGAGUGAAAAAGAACCUGAAACCGUGUACGUACAAGCAGUGGGAGCACCUUCGGGUGUGACUGCGUACCUUUUGUAUAAUGGGUCAGCGACUUAUAUUCUGUAGCAAGGUUAACCGUAUAGGGGAGCCGCAGGGAAACCGAGUCUUAACUGGGCGUUAAGUUGCAGGGUAUAGACCCGAAACCCGGUGAUCUAGCCAUGGGCAGGUUGAAGGUUGGGUAACACUAACUGGAGGACCGAACCGACUAAUGUUGAAAAAUUAGCGGAUGACUUGUGGCUGGGGGUGAAAGGCCAAUCAAACCGGGAGAUAGCUGGUUCUCCCCGAAAGCUAUUUAGGUAGCGCCUCGUGAACUCAUCUUCGGGGGUAGAGCACUGUUUCGGCUAGGGGGUCAUCCCGACUUACCAACCCGAUGCAAACUACGAAUACCGAAGAAUGUUAUCACGGGAGACACACGGCGGGUGCUAACGUCCGUCGUGAAGAGGGAAACAACCCAGACCGCCAGCUAAGGUCCCAAAGUCAUGGUUAAGUGGGAAACGAUGUGGGAAGGCACAGACAGCCAGGAUGUUGGCUUAGAAGCAGCCAUCAUUUAAAGAAAGCGUAAUAGCUCACUGGUCGAGUCGGCCUGCGCGGAAGAUGUAACGGGGCUAAACCAUGCACCGAAGCUGCGGCAGCGACACUAUGUGUUGUUGGGUAGGGGAGCGUUCUGUAAGCCUGCGAAGGUGACCUGUGAGGGUUGCUGGAGGUAUCAGAAGUGCGAAUGCUGACAUAAGUAACGAUAAAGCGGGUGAAAAGCCCGCUCGCCGGAAGACCAAGGGUUCCUGUCCAACGUUAAUCGGGGCAGGGUGAGUCGACCCCUAAGGCGAGGCCGAAAGGCGUAGUCGAUGGGAAACAGGUUAAUAUUCCUGUACUUGGUGUUACUGCGAAGGGGGGACGGAGAAGGCUAUGUUAGCCGGGCGACGGUUGUCCCGGUUUAAGCAUGUAGGCUGAUUAUCCAGGCAAAUCCGGAUAAUCAAGGCUGAGGUGUGAUGACGAGGCACUACGGUGCUGAAGUAACAAAUGCCCUGCUUCCAGGAAAAGCCUCUAAGCAUCAGGUAACAUCAAAUCGUACCCCAAACCGACACAGGUGGUCAGGUAGAGAAUACCAAGGCGCUUGAGAGAACUCGGGUGAAGGAACUAGGCAAAAUGGUGCCGUAACUUCGGGAGAAGGCACGCUGGUGUGUAGGUGAAGUCCCUGCGGAUGGAGCUGAGACCAGUCGAAGAUACCAGCUGGCUGCAACUGUUUAUUAAAAACACAGCACUGUGCAAACACGAAAGUGGACGUAUACGGUGUGACGCCUGCCCGGUGCCGGAAGGUUAAUUGAUGGGGUUAUCCGUAAGGAGAAGCUCUUGAUCGAAGCCCCGGUAAACGGCGGCCGUAACUAUAACGGUCCUAAGGUAGCGAAAUUCCUUGUCGGGUAAGUUCCGACCUGCACGAAUGGCGUAAUGAUGGCCAGGCUGUCUCCACCCGAGACUCAGUGAAAUUGAACUCGCUGUGAAGAUGCAGUGUACCCGCGGCAAGACGGAAAGACCCCGUGAACCUUUACUAUAGCUUGACACUGAACAUUGAGCCUUGAUGUGUAGGAUAGGUGGGAGGCUUUGAAGCGUGGACGCCAGUCUGCGUGGAGCCAACCUUGAAAUACCACCCUUUAAUGUUUGAUGUUCUAACGUUGGCCCCUUAUCGGGGUUGCGGACAGUGUCUGGUGGGUAGUUUGACUGGGGCGGUCUCCUCCCAAAGCGUAACGGAGGAGCACGAAGGUUAGCUAAUCCUGGUCGGACAUCAGGAGGUUAGUGCAAUGGCAUAAGCUAGCUUGACUGCGAGCGUGACGGCGCGAGCAGGUGCGAAAGCAGGUCAUAGUGAUCCGGUGGUUCUGAAUGGAAGGGCCAUCGCUCAACGGAUAAAAGGUACUCCGGGGAUAACAGGCUGAUACCGCCCAAGAGUUCAUAUCGACGGCGGUGUUUGGCACCUCGAUGUCGGCUCAUCACAUCCUGGGGCUGAAGUAGGUCCCAAGGGUAUGGCUGUUCGCCAUUUAAAGUGGUACGCGAGCUGGGUUUAGAACGUCGUGAGACAGUUCGGUCCCUAUCUGCCGUGGGCGCUGGAGAAUUGAGGGGGGCUGCUCCUAGUACGAGAGGACCGGAGUGGACGCAUCACUGGUGUUCGGGUUGUCAUGCCAAUGGCACUGCCCGGUAGCUAAAUGCGGAAGAGAUAAGUGCUGAAAGCAUCUAAGCACGAAACUUGCCCCGAGAUGAGUUCUCCCUGAGACUUUAAGUCUCCUGAAGGAACGUUAAAGACGAUGACGUUGAUAGGCCGGGUGUGUAAGCGCAGCGAUGCGUUGAGCUAACCGGUACUAAUGAACCGUGAGGCUUAACCUU